GACGGACGCUGGCGGCGUGCUUAACACAUGCAAGUCGAACGGAAAGGCCCUGCUUUUGUGGGGUGCUCGAGUGGCGAACGGGUGAGUAACACGUGAGUAACCUGCCCUUGACUUUGGGAUAACUUCAGGAAACUGGGGCUAAUACCGGAUAGGAGCUCCUGCUGCAUGGUGGGGGUUGGAAAGUUUCGGCGGUUGGGGAUGGACUCGCGGCUUAUCAGCUUGUUGGUGGGGUAGUGGCUUACCAAGGCUUUGACGGGUAGCCGGCCUGAGAGGGUGACCGGCCACAUUGGGACUGAGAUACGGCCCAGACUCCUACGGGAGGCAGCAGUGGGGAAUAUUGCACAAUGGGCGGAAGCCUGAUGCAGGAACGCCGCGUGCGGGAUGACGGCCUUCGGGUUGUAAACCGCUUUCGCCUGUGACGAAGCGUGAGUGACGGUAAUGGGUAAAGAAGCACCGGCUAACUACGUG
rnacentral:rRNA from 1 species